ACACAAUUGAAGUAUGGUCAUGGCUCUAGCUGGGAAUAAAGCAGAUCUGGUAGAGUGAAGGAAAGUGGCAUCAGAGUUGAUUAAAUUGAAAGGACAUAUACAAAAAGCUGGAUAAACUUCCAGGCUGAAGAUGAUAAAAGACUUUGUAGGCACAAGCAAACACACUAAAGUAAUUGGUACGUGAAGUAGAACGAGGAAGAUCCUUGUAAAAGUUUGAACCCUAUGUAGUAGAGAAAGAUAACUACCUUGUAAAACUCAAUUAUCUUGUAAACUUUCGUAGAAGCUUCAUUCCUUUUAUAACAUUUAUGAGAAAAAUUAAAAUGUAUCAUUCCCUUUCAUA